AAAUCAUCAUGCCCCUUAUGUUCUGGGCUACACACGUGCUACAAUGGCCGGUACAGACGGAGGCGAAGCCGCGAGGCGGAGCAAAUCCGAAAAAGCCGGUCUCAGUUCGGAUUGCAGGCUGCAAUUCGCCUGCAUGAAGUCGGAAUCGCUAGUAAUCGCAGGUCAGCAUACUGCGGUGAAUACGUUCCCGGGCCUU
rnacentral:rRNA from 1 species